CUGGUCUUUCCCAGUUAUUACCAGAUCUCUCAGUCAUCCAAGGAGGUAUUGAUGGAGUCUUUGGGGAGUGAGACAGAGACCUCUUGGUCUGACUCUGCCUUGCUUCAUUGUCUGGUCUAAUCUUUAAGAAGAGAAGAAAAGAGAAGAGAAGAGGAGAGGAGAAAAAGGAAGGAGAGGAAAAAAGAAGAAGAGAGGAGAGGAGAGAAGAGGAGGGGGAAGAGAGAAGAGCAGAGAGGGAAAGAGGUCUCUUUGCUGUCUUAGAAGGCUGGACUUGUCUUGAAGACUCUCCAAAAGAAGAUGCUAACUUGGGGUGCUUAAUCAUUGACCAUUGUCUUACCUUCAGUCUCAACUGGUGUUUCUGUGACGACAGAAGAAAACUCCCUGAAGAUUUUGCUGGAAUUCUCCAAAGACUUCCAUUGCUCCUCAAUGACUUCAGCUCCAGCAGAAUAUUUACAUAUCCAAACAUCUGCCCUUCCUGAAUAUGGGGUGUAGAAAGCUAAUAAAAGCAAAGUCUGAGUGUAGAAACUUCUUUAU
rnacentral:lncRNA from 1 species